CAUUUACUGUUUAAAUAAAUUUAUUAACAAUAUGUAAAUUUACACAUAUGUUAGAAAGGUUACAAAGUAAAUUACAACGUGUUUUGGAGCGACAAUUAAAAAUUCUGGCUGUGAUUCAUUUUACACAUUUACAUAUAGUACUCACCACGUAUAUAACGAAAAAUAAUAGCCACAAUGUUUUCAUUACUUUAAAUAAAAGUUCGCAUUUAAAUUACAUACAAAUAAGGUACAAAACUCAGUUGUUAAUUUUAUUCUUAAUUAUCAGUCACUGUUAGUGAACUGUCUUUAAAAUGUUUAACGCUUGCAAGUCUUUUAAUGCAGAAGGUGUAUGCUGACACGAAGUAAAAAUCGACGCAUGUAACAGCUAUGAACGAAAUAUCCAUAACAAUUGAGUAAUUGCUUUACAAACAUAAGAGUUGUUUUAAAACGACUAAUGGUAACAUGGAAAUUGUUGCAACGUUGUUAUAAAACGGUAAGUAAAGUAAUUCGGAUCGGUUAUUCAUAAAAUGUAUUUAAUUUAUAAAUAUAUAAUACAUUGUCAAAAAAA